rnacentral:lncRNA from 1 species
UCCCUAAGUAUCAAUAAAAAUACUCCUCUCUCUACUUCUCUCUCUAUUGUUCUUGUUCUUAUAUUAUUUCAUAACACGUUAUCAGCACGAGACUCUACCGUAUCAAGAAUCGAUUCUCAAGAAAAACUAAGGUAUUUCUCUCUUGCUAAUUUGAUUUUCGAUUAUGUCUGACAUUACGAAAAGAAAGUUCGUUGCCCUUGAAAUUUCGGGCAAGAACUAUAUGACAUGGGUGUUGGAUGCUGAAANNN